CCUACGGGAGGCAGCAGUGGGGAAUAUUGGACAAUGGGCGCAAGCCUGAUCCAGCAAUGCCGCGUGAGUGAUGAAGGCCUUAGGGUCGUAAAGCUCUUUUACCAGGGAUGAUAAUGACAGUACCUGGAGAAUAAGCUCCGGCUAACUCCGUGCCAGCAGCCGCGGUAAUACGGAGGGAGCUAGCGUUGUUCGGAAUUACUGGGCGUAAAGCGUACGUAGGCGGUUAUUCAAGUCAGAGGUGAAAGCCCGGGGCUCAACCCCGGAACGGCCUUUGAAACUAGGUAGCUAGAAUCUUGGAGAGGUCAGUGGAAUUCCGAGUGUAGAGGUGAAAUUCGUAGAUAUUCGGAAGAACACCAGUGGCGAAGGCGACUGGCUGGACAAGUAUUGACGCUGAGGUACGAAAGCGUGGGGAGCAAACAGGAUUAGAUACCCUGGUAGUCCACGCCGUAAACGAUGAUAACUAGCUGUUCGGGCACUUGGUGCUUGAGUGGCGCAGCUACGCAUAAGUUAUCCGUCCGUCGGGUAGGUACGGUCGCGAGAGUUAAACGUUAAAGUAAAGUUAGACGGUCGUGUAGACGUUGUCCGACGGACGACGACGAGGGAGGAGG
rnacentral:rRNA from 1 species